rnacentral:tRNA from 1 species
AGGGCCAUAGCCAAGCGGUAAGGCAGCGGGUUUUGAUCCCGUCAUCCCAGGUUCGAUUCCUGGUGGCCCUGCCA